AUUUGUGAAUGAAGCAAUGGAAAAGAAAAUGGAAAGAAUUCUGGCCUGGGAUUCCUGGCUAACUCCCAGUGUGACCUUGGAUUCUGUUUUGUUGAAGGCUAUGACAUCUCAUCUCAAGAGGUGGGGAUGGAGCCUGUGGGUUGAAGUUCCAGGUUCCUCCCUCUCCCUAAGCUGGAAGGGCCAAGAAGGCAAGCAAGAGUGAGUGAGGACCCUCUUCCCUGAUCCUGGCACAGAACAAAAGUUCAGAAGCCCAAUUCAGAAGCUCACAGUUGCAGGAACUCAAUCUGGACUGAGAAGGGUUUUUUCUAUCCCUGGAGGAUCAGAUGGGGAGGAAGAGAAUAAGCAUUUAUAUGGUGCCUACUGUGUGCCAGGA